GUGGGGAAUAUUGGGCAAUGGGCGCAAGCCUGACCCAGCAACGCCGCGUGAGGGAAGAAGGCUUUCGGGUUGUAAACCUCUGUCCUUGGUGACGAAACAAAUGACGGUAGCCAAGGAGGAAGCCCCGGCUAACUACGUGCCAGCAGCCGCGGUAAUACGUAGGGGGCGAGCGUUGUCCGGAAUUACUGGGCGUAAAGGGUGCGUAGGUGGCCUUUUAAGUUGGAUGUGAAAUACCCGGGCUUAACUGGGGGGGUGCAUCCAAAACUGGGAGGCUAGAGUGCAGGAGAGGAAAGCGGAAUUCCUAGUGUAGCGGUGAAAUGCGUAGAUAUUAGGAGGAACACCAGUGGCGAAGGCGGCUUUCUGGACUGUAACUGACACUGAGGCACGAAAGCGUGGGGAGCAAACAGGAUUAGAUACCCCGGUAGUCC
rnacentral:rRNA from 1 species